rnacentral:rRNA from 1 species
GAUCAUGGCUCAGGAUGAACGCUAGCUACAGGCUUAACACAUGCAAGUCGCGGGGCAACAUGUCGGUUGCUUGCAACCGAUGAUGGCGACCGGCGCACGGGUGAGUAACGCGUAUCCAACCUGCCCUUCACCACGGAAUAAUCCAGUGAAAUUGGUCUAAUACCGUAUGAGGUCAUACGAUGGCAUCAGAAUAUGACGAAAGGUUUGGCGGUGAAGGAUGGUG